AACGAACGCUGGCGGCGUGCCUAACACAUGCAAGUCGAGCGCGAAAGGAGCAAUCCGAGUAGAGCGGCGCACGGGUGCGUAACACGUGGGUAAUCUGCCCUUGAGUCUGGGAUAACCAUUCGAAAGUUUGGCUAAUACCGGAUAAGCUCACGGGAACCUCGGUUCCUGGGAGAAAAGUAGGCCUCCAUUCAUAAGCUUACACUCGAGGAUGAGCCCGCGGCCCAUCAGCUAGUUGGCGGGGUAAUGGCCCACCAAGGCUACGACGGGUAGCUGGUCUGAGAGGACGAUCAGCCACACUGGAACUGAGACACGGUCCAGACUCCUACGGGAGGCAGCAGUGGGGAAUUUUCCACAAUGGGCGCAAGCCUGAUGGAGCAACGCCGCGUGUGUGAUGAAGGUCUUCGGAUCGUAAAGCACUUUCGACUGGGACGAAACUCCUCUGGCUAACAUCCAGGGGCCUGACGGUACCGGGAGAAGAAGCACCGGCUAACUCUGUGCCAGCCGCCGCAGUAACAC
rnacentral:rRNA from 1 species